rnacentral:rRNA from 1 species
UACGUAGGGUGCAAGCGUUGUCCGGAAUUAUUGGGCGUAAAGAGCUCGUAGGCGGUCUGUCGCGUCGAAUGUGAAAACCCGGGGCACAACCCCGGGCCUGCAUUCGAUACGGGCAGACUAGAGUUCGGUAGGGGAGUCUGGAAUUCCUGGUGUAGCGGUGAAAUGCGCAGAUAUCAGGAGGAACACCGGUGGCGAAGGCGGGACUCUGGGCCGAUACUGACGCUGAGGAGCGAAAGCGUGGGGAGCAAACAGG